GACAGAGGGUGCUAGCGUUGUUCGGAAUGACUGGGCGUAAAGGGCGCGUAGGCUGUUAUUCAAGUCAGAUGUGAAAGCCCCGGGCUUAACCUGGGAACUGCAUUUGAUACUGGAUGACUGGAGUGCGAGAGAGGAAAGCGGAAUUCCUAGUGUAGAGGUGAAAUUCGUAGAUAUUAGGAGGAACACCAGAGGCGAAGGCGGCUUUCUGGCUCGCAACUGACGCUGAGGCGCGAAAGCGUGGGGAGCAAAC
rnacentral:rRNA from 1 species